GUUUUUAUUCUACUUUGAUUUUGAGUAUUUAUCGAGAAUUCUGAAUAUAUUUAUCUGCAAUUUUCAAAAUACGAUAAUAUGUUUACGCACACAAUAUUCACCAUGUCGUGAUUUUAGAUGUAUAUCGGGAUUCGAAUAAAUGCGAUACACCGUGGCGGUUUUUUCGUAUAAUCGUAAAAUAAUAAUGAAGAAUGUGUGUCAAUCAUUAUCAAAAUACUUUGGUGUUUUUUCUGUUACAACUUUUCUCAUGUAGAAGCAAAAUAGGAUGACACCAAAUCAGGCCAAUGUGUUUUACGCUUGAAAGGAAGGGGAAAUGCAUACAAAUUCUCGAGUAUGUUCAUUGCAGAUUCACUGUAUAUUUUCAUAAUUUGGAUAAUGGAUUUACCAUCGAAAAUUUUGUUAUUUUCACACCUAUGCUUGUUGAUUGUUAUAGAUUGUGUUAUAGAAUUUGAACCUUUCUGCAUUUUCUAUUUCCUCAAAGGUCGGUCUAUCGUUCUUUUUCUUCUUCUGGUUUUACACGUUAUGGUAAAUCUCCCAGACAUUAGAAACGUUAAAAGUUGAAAAAAAAAAAAAAUUUAGUCUUACCUGCAAG
rnacentral:lncRNA from 1 species